rnacentral:rRNA from 1 species
GAUCAUGGCUCAGGAUGAACGCUGGCGGCGUGCCUAAUACAUGCAAGUCGAGCGAACAGAUAAGGAGCUUGCUCCUUUGACGUUAGCGGCGGACGGGUGAGUAACACGUGGAUAACCUACCUAUAAGACUGGGAUAACUUCGGGAAACCGGAGCUAAUACCGGAUAACAUAUUGAACCGCAUGGUUCAAUAGUGAAAGGCGGCUUUGCUGUCACUUAUAGAUGGAUCCGCGCCGUAUUAG